rnacentral:rRNA from 1 species
GUAGUCCACGCCGUAAACGUUGGGCGCUAGGUGUGGGCCUCAUUCCACGAGGUCCGUGCCGCAGCUAACGCAUUAAGCGCCCCGCCUGGGGAGUACGGCCGCAAGGCUAAAACUCAAAGAAAUUGACGGGGGCCCGCACAAGCAGCGGAGCAUGUGGCUUAAUUCGAUGCAACGCGAAGAACCUUACCUGGGCUUGACAUGCAAGGAAAUCUCAUAGAGAUAUGAGGUCCGUAAGGGCCUUGCACAGGUGGUGCAUGGCUGUCGUCAGCUCGUGUCGUGAGAUGUUGGGUUAAGUCCCGCAACGAGCGCAACCCUCAUCCUAUGUUGCCAGCGCGUAAUGGCGGGGACUCAUAGGAGACUGCCGUGGUCAACACGGA